NGAUGCGAUCAUACCAGCACUAAAGCACCGGAUCCCAUCAGAACUCCGAAGUUAAGCGUGCUUGGGCGAGAGUAGUACUAGGAUGGGUGACCUCCUGGGAAGUCCUCGUGUUGCAUUCC
rnacentral:rRNA from 1 species